GGUCACUUGGCAACAAUAACAACACAGAAUGGUGUUCAACGACUUCAGAGGUCACCACAAGUGGCCACAGUACGCCUCCUCAUAGGAGAUUCUUGGUCUGAGAAAUGGCUCACUAGAGAGAGUCUCCAGUUUUCAACAACAAAUGAGAUGUAAAAACAAAUUCACUUCAACAAACAUGAGACACAGAAGCAAGAAAGUACAUCUCCAACAGAACAAAGCAGCUAACAGGAAGUGUCCACAAGGAGGACCAGACAUUGGCCUGGAGAAAACCUCAAGGUCCAAGAUCAGUUGACUUUACAGAUGAGGAACCCACGGAUAUGGAGGGCGACUGGAUAGGCACUCCUACCAUGAUGCUUGCUUAAAUGUCUCCAGGAGAAUAAUGUACCAGUCUUAGUAAAAACACAAAUGUUUGAAGAAUUUGGACAAUG